UCAAGCUCUCGCUCGCUACCCCUCCCCAUGAUGUCGUUUCAUUCUGACUUGCUUUUUUUUGACAGUCAAAUUGAAAAAAGUAUAAACACUACCUGUGAGCGGUAUGAGGUGACCUUUUCUCUCUUUUUUAAUGCUAAAUGUUUUUGCUUGUUUAACCAUUCUUUUGGGAGGAAUUGUUUUCACUGAUCUGGAUUUCUUGGAAGUGGAGUUGAAUAUGGGAGCAAAGGACAAGAAAGACAAAACACUCCCAGGGAGGAGAGAGACUCCGCCUGCAGUGACUGCUCCACUCUGCAUGGGCCACCAUCCCUAUCUGGAUCACCUUUACUACGGUGUCCUCUACCUCUGUCACCUUUCCCACAGCACCCCCCACAACCCCCCAAAAUGCUUUGCUAAAGCUGGUAAAAUGGAACCAAAUCAACUGUUCAAUGGAUUUGGUCCCCUUCAACCAGCUGUAGCUGUGCAUUGAUCGCUCCGGACAGAGGGACCAAAAAACAAACAAACAAACAAACAAACAAACAAACAAAACAAACAGAAAAGUGGACAGGAAUCUCAGCAGAAAACUGAUCUAAAGUGAUGCUAUUGGACUGAGACGUCUGUGGAUAAUACAAAACGUGCACGGAUUUAUCUCUAUCACACAGAUUACCCACAAGACACUGAAGUCAUUUGCUUAAUCUGAAUAAAACAAGGCAGGUAAGUCA
rnacentral:lncRNA from 1 species